rnacentral:rRNA from 1 species
GAUGAACGCUGGCGGCGUGCCUAAUACAUGCAAGUCGAGCGAACGGACGAGAAGCUUGCUUUUCUGAUGUUAGCGGCGGACGGGUGAGUAACACGUGGAUAACCUACCUAUAAGACUGGGAUAACUUCGGGAAACCGGAGCUAAUACCGGAUAAUAUUUUGAACCGCAUGGUUCAAAAGUGAAAGACGGUCUUGCUGUCACUUAUAGAUGGAUCCGCGCUGCAUUAGCUAGUUGGUAAGGUAACGGCUUACCAAGGCAACGAUGCAUAGCCGACCUGAGAGGGUGAUCGCCCACCCUGGAACUGAGACACGGUCCAGACUCCUACGGGAGGCAGCAGUAGGGAAUCUUCCGCAAUGGGCGAAAGCCUGACGGAGCAACGCCGCGUGAGUGAUGAAGGUCUUCGGAUCGUAAAACUCUGUUAUUAGGGAAGAACAUAUGUGUAAGUAACUGUGCACAUCUUGACGGUACCUAAUCAGAAAGCCACGGCUAACUACGUG